GGCACGAGGCCAUUGCUACCUGGAAGGAAGGAUUUUGAUCAGACUGCAGAAGAUGAACAGGCAGGAGAGGUAUGUUGAGUAACACUAAAUCAAUGGAGUUUCAUUUACAUUAGACACCAGCCUGGCAAUUUCAACAUUAAUGGUUGCACUGCUGCCCUCUGAAUUUUUGUAGCUUUAAUAUAUCAGUGGGGGAGUAAAAGAGAGGGAGAGCGUGUCGCUCAUGCUUAUGAUACGUGGGUCUUUUCUUUCAUGCAUCAUCAAUGGGUAGCAAUUUGUACAGCUGUUAAAUUCCUUUAGCAAUAAAUUUCCUGGGAUAAGUAUUGCACUGCUCCUACCUCACAGAUUAUCUAAGAUGAUAGUAACAAUAGUGUCUUUGGAUCUGGACCCUCUUUCUUUCAAGCUGAAAGAAUGAAAGGCUGAGGCAAAUGGCAAGGUAGCAAGAGCAUCACAUUUGGACCUCUGACUGCGAGGACUGUAAAGCACGUUCAUGAACCACAAAGCAGAUGGAUUUGGAGGUAUGUUGUACCAACAACUCAGAGCAACAGAGUACUUGCCUGGGCAGAAUUACAAACCACAACGUGAAUAAUUUGGUGAGUUUUACUAAAAAGAUUUGCUGUUUUUCUUCCCAGGAACUGUGCAAUUUUCUGUGCACAGGAGAAAUUCUCAUUUCUACUUCAAUGGCAGGGUGCAUUGUCACCUUACAGGAGCAGGUACUGACUGUUGCUUCUGAUUUGGGGGGCUCAAAUCCAUGCAAUUUUCAUCUGGGCUGGGUUCUCGUAGGUGGACUGUUCAUCAUGGCUCUAGAUUUUCAAAAUAAAUUAGCAGUUUUGGAUCCCUUAUAUUUGCAUUUGAGACACUUUGAAAAGGGAACAAUUGCCGGAGAGCCAGGUGUUUAG
rnacentral:lncRNA from 1 species